rnacentral:rRNA from 1 species
AGGUUAAGCUACAAAGAGCACACGGAGGAUGCCUAGGCGCCAGGAGCCGACGAAGGACGUGGCGAACAACGAUAAGGCCUCGGGGAGCUGUAAGCAAGCUUUGAUCCGGGGAUGUCCGAAUGGGGAAACCCGGCUGUCUUCAUCGACAGUCACUACUCACUGAAUUCAUAGGUGAGUGAGAGGCAGACCAGGGGAACUGAAACAUCUAAGUACCCUGAGGAAGAGAAAACAAUAGUGAUUCCGUCAGUAGCGGCGAGCGAACGCGGAUUAGCCCAAACCAAGGAGCUUGCUCCUUGGGGUUGUGGGACGUCUCACAUGGAGUUACAAAGGAACCGGUUAGAUGAAGAGGUCUGGAAAGGCCCGCCAGAGAAGGUAAAAGCCCUGUAGUUCAAAACUUGUUCCCUCCGAGACGGAUCCCGAGUAGUGCGGGGCACGUGAAACCCCGUAUGAAUCCGGCAGGACCAUCUGCCAAGGCUAAAUACUCCCUGGCGACCGAUAGUGAAGCAGUACCGUGAGGGAAAGGUGAAAAGCACCCCGGAAGGGGAGUGAAAUAGAUCCUGAAACCGUGUGCUUACAAGAAGUCAGAGCCCGAUCUAUGGGUGAUGGCGUGCCUUUUGUAGAAUGAACCGGCGAGUUACGUUCCCGUGCAAGGUUAAGGUGAAGAGCUGAAGCCGCAGCGAAAGCGAGUCUGAAUAGGGCGAAUGAGUACGUGGACGUAGACCCGAAACCGGGUGAUCUACCCCUGUCCAGGGUGAAGGUGCGGUAACACGCACUGGAGGCCCGAACCCACGCAUGUUGAAAAAUGCGGGGAUGAGGUGGGGGUAGCGGAGAAAUUCCAAUCGAACCCGGAGAUAGCUGGUUCUCCCCGAAAUAGCUUUAGGGCUAGCCUCGGAAAAAAGAAUCGUGGAGGUAGAGCACUGAUUGGGUGCGGGGCCCGCAAGGGUUACCAAGCUCAGUCAAACUCCGAAUGCCA